rnacentral:tRNA from 1 species
GUUGGAGUGGCAGACACAGGCAAUGCAAAAGAUCUAAAAUCUUUAAAUAGAUGUUCAAAUCAUCUCCCCAAUC